GGGCAAUUGGUCUAGGGGUAUGAUUUUCGCUUCGCAUUCCAACAGAUGCGCCUUUGUGAAAGGUCACCGGUUCGAAUCCGGUAUUGUCCA